rnacentral:rRNA from 1 species
GACGAACGCUGGCGGCGUGCUUAACACAUGCAAGUCGAACGAAGUGGCGAACGGGUGAGUAACGCGUAAUCAACCUGCCCUUCAGAGGGGGACAACAGUUGGAAACGACUGCUAAUACCGCAUAAUGAAGGAGGGGAGUGAGUCUGAUUGGCUAGUUGGAGGGGGAACGGCCCACCAAGGCGAUGAUCAGUAGCCGGGCUGAGAGGAUGAACGGCAACAUUGGGACUGGGACACGGGCCAGACGCCUACGGGAGGGAGCAGUGGGGGAUCUUCCGAAAUGGACGAAAGGCUGACGGAGCAACGCCGCGUGAGUGAUGACGGCCUUCGGGUUGUAAAGCUCUGUUAAUCGGGACGCGGUACCGGAAUAGAAAGCCACGGCUAACUACGUGCCAGCCGCCGCGGUAAUUC